AGGUUCUCUAAAACAAAUUUAUUUUCAUUAAUUGGCUUAACACAAGUGGCAAUGAAGCCUAGCCACACAAAAUACAAAUCACAUUUAUCCAACAUAAAAAUAGAAUUUUCAGCGCAAAAUUAAACAGUUCAAUGCUUCUUCAAAAAAUCUCCGGCCAUCUUCAGAUAAUCUCCUUUUUUACCAGAUUCCGACGACUGACUCCCAUCGGAAUCUUUCUUCAAAAGUCCUUCCGCCAUUUUAAUAUACUCGCCAUAUCCACUUCCUGAUUUUUCAUGUUUUCCUCCACUUGUAUGCCCCGAUGACUGCGUAUGUGCAGUCGCCGCGGCGGUAGCGGUGGUUGUUGAAUGAUGAGAAGUUUCGUAUUUAUGGAGAUAAGUCUCUGCUUUUCCGACGAAUUUCCCGAUCCCUGUCUCUUCUAGUUUACCGUACUGUGAAGCGGCGUUGAGGAGGUCAGCGGCAGCUCCGGCGAGCUCCGAUUUCUCAAAUUGUUUUGGAUCGUGAUGGAGUUUUGCUUUGGCGGCGUCAGCUACUAGCUUGGCGCUGGACAUCAGCUCAGAUUUAGAUGGCUUCGGGUGGCUGUUGGGCUUAUGGGUCGAUGAAUGACCCGAUCCGGAUGUGCUCUUGGCUCGUGUUGGAUCCAUAGAAUGAACUAGUAUCUUUCGAUUAAUAAAAUAAUUGAAGUGCGAACGAAUUGAUUAUAUAUAUGAGGAAAUUUGUUGGUUAUUGAUGAAUGAACAAUGGUAUCGCUAAUGUAAAUA
rnacentral:misc_RNA from 1 species